rnacentral:rRNA from 1 species
GGUCAAGCUACUAAGGGCGUACGGUGGAUGCCUAGGCGCUAAGAGUCGAAGAAGGGCGCGGUUAACAGCGAAAUGCCACGGGGAGUCGUAAGCAGGCUUUGAUCCGUGGAUACCCGAAUGGGGCAACCCAACCGGAGUUAUGUCCGGUUAUCUUUAGCUGAAUACAUAGGUUAAAGAAGACAACCCGGAGAACUGAAACAUCUAAGUAUCCGGAGGAAGAGAAAGAAUCAUCGAUUCCCUGAGUAGCGGCGAGCGAAACGGGAAGAGCCCAAACCAAGCUCUUCGGAGCUUGGGGUUGUAGGACCCUCUGUUAAGAAUGGAUCUUUAGUGGAAGAAGGCUGGAAAGCCUCGGCAAAGAAGGUAACACCCCUGUAAGCGAAAAAGAGACAUUCUGUGAGGGAAUCCUGAGUACCGCGGGACACGAGAAACCCCGUGGGAAGCAGGGAGGACCACCUCCCAAGGCUAAAUACUCCUUAGCGACCGAUAGUGAACCAGUACCGUGAGGGAAAGGUGAAAAGCACCUCGGAAGAGGAGUGAAAAAGAACCUGAAACCGUACGCUUACAAGCAGUCACAGCACGUUGGUGUGGUGGCGUGCCUUUUGUAGAAUGAACCGGCGAGUUACGGUAUGCAGCGAGGUUAAGGCGGAGAGCCGGAGCCGAAGCGAAAGCGAGUCUGAAAUGGGCGACGAGUUGCAUGCUGUAGACCCGAAACCGUGUGAUCUACCCAUGGCCAGGGUGAAGGUGGGGUAAAACCCACUGGAGGCCCGAACUCACUGUCGUUGAAAAGGCAGGGGAUGAGCUGUGGGUAGGGGUGAAAUGCCAAUCGAACACGGAGAUAGCUGGUUCUCCCCGAAAUAGCUUUAGGGCUAGCCUCAAUGAAGGAAUCAUGGCGGUAGAGCACUGAAUAGGCUAGGGGCCUUACCAGGUUACCGAACCUUAUCAAACUCCGAAUGCCAGGAUAUUACCAUUGGGAGUCAGACUGUGGGGGAUAAGCUUCAUAGUCAAAAGGGAAACAGCCCAGACCAUCAGCUAAGGUCCCAAAGUAUACACUAAGUGGGAAAGGAUGUGGAAUUGCUCAGACAACCAGGAUGUUGGCUUAGAAGCAGCCACCAUUUAAAGAGUGCGUAAUAGCUCACUGGUCGAGUGGUUCUGCGCCGAAAAUGUAACGGGGCUCAAGUGUAUCACCGAAGCUAUGGCUUUACAGGAAACUGUAAGGGGUAGGGGAGCGUUCUGUCAGCAGAGAAGUCAAGCCGUAAGGUUUGGUGGAGUGGAUAGAAGUGAGAAUGCCGGUAUGAGUAUGCGAAAAGACAAGUGAGAAUCUUGUCCGCCGAAAAUCUAAGGGAUCCUGGGGAAGGCUCGUCCGCCCAGGGUAAGUCGGGACCUAAGCCGAGGCCGAAAGGCGUAGGUGAUGGACAACUGGUUGAGAUUCCAGUACCACCGAGAAGCGAUUGAGUAAUGGGGCGACACAGAAGGAUAGGUUAAGCGUGCCGUUGGUCGAGCACGCCCAAGCGAGUAGGAGGUAGGGUAGGCAAAUCCGCCCUGCGUAACUCUGAGACGUGAUGGGGAGCGAAAUAAAGUAGCGAAGUAACCGACUCCAGGCUGUCAAGAAAAGCCUCUAGCGAGCGACUGGGUGCCCGUACCGCAAACCGACACAGGUAGAUGGGGUGAGAAACCUAAGGCGCGCGAGAAACCCCUCGUUAAGGAACUCGGCACAAUGGCCCCGUAACUUCGGGAGAAGGGGCGCUCACUGCAAGGUGAGCCGCAGAGAACUGGUCCAGGCGCCUGUGUCAGAAAAACACAGGUCCCUGCUAAUCCGAAAGGAGAUGUAUAGGGGCUGACACCUGCCCGGUGCUGGAAGGUUAAGAGGAGAGGUUAGGCGCAAGCCGAAGCUUUGAAUUGAAGCCCCAGUAAACGGCGGCCGUAACUAUAAC